GUCUCGAUAGCUAAGUGGUAUAGCAUGCGAUUGCAGUAUGAAUCGACCUAUCGCAGGGUCCGGUGUUCGAACCACCGUCGGGACU